UACGUAGGGUGCAAGCGUUAUCCGGAAUCACUGGGCGUAAAGCGUGUGUAGGCGGAAGUUUAAGUGAAAUGCGAAAUCUCGUGGCUCAACCAUGUAGACUGUAUUUCAUACUGGGCUUCUAGAGGAUGGCAGAGGCAAGUGGAAUUGGUAGUGUAGCAGUGAAAUGCGUAGAUAUUACCAGGAACACCAAUGGCGAAGGCAGCUUGCUGGGCCAUUUCUGACGCUGAGACACGAAAGCGUGGGGAGCGAACAGG
rnacentral:rRNA from 1 species